rnacentral:rRNA from 1 species
GAUGAACGCUAGCUACAGGCUUAACACAUGCAAGUCGAGGGGAAACGAUAUUGGAAGCUUGCUUCCGAUAGGCGUCGACCGGCGCACGGGUGAGUAACGCGUAUCCAACCUGCCCACCACUUGGGGAUAACCUUGCGAAAGUAAGACUAAUGCCCAAUGAUAUCUCUAGAAGACAUCUGAAGGAGAUUAAAGAUUCAUCGGUGAUGGAUGGGGAUGCGUCUGAUUAGUUUGUUGGCGGGGUAACGGCCCACCAAGGCGACGAUCAGUAGGGGUUCUGAGAGGAAGGUCCCCCACAUUGGAACUGAGACACGGUCCAAACUCCUACGGGAGGCAGCAGUGAGGAAUAUUGGUCAAUGGGCGAGAGCCUGAACCAGCCAAGUAGCGUGCAGGAUGACGGCCCUAUGGGUUGUAAACUGCUUUUAUAAGGGAAUAAAGUGAGUCUCGUGAGACUUUUUGCAUGUACCUUAUGAAUAAGGACCGGCUAAUUCCGUGCCAGCCGCCGCCGUAA